rnacentral:rRNA from 1 species
UCUAAUACCGGAUACUGACCCUCGCAGGCAUCUGCGAGGGUUCGAAAGCUCCGGCGGUGAAGGAUGAGCCCGCGGCCUAUCAGCUUGUUGGUGAGGUAAUGGCUCACCAAGGCGACGACGGG